UACAGAGGGUGCGAGCGUUAAUCGGAAUUACUGGGCGUAAAGCGCGCGUAGGCGGCUUUGCAAGUCGGGUGUGAAAUCCCCAGGCUUAACCUGGGAACUGCAUUCGAGACUGCAUUGCUAGAGUAUGGGAGAGGGAAGUGGAAUUUCCGGUGUAGCGGUGAAAUGCGUAGAUAUCGGGAGGAACACCGAUGGCGAAGGCAGGUCUCUGGGCCAUAACUGACGCUGAGAAGCGAAAGCAUGGGGAGCGAACAGG
rnacentral:rRNA from 1 species